rnacentral:rRNA from 1 species
GAUGAACGCUGGCGGCGUGCCUAAUACAUGCAAGUCGAGCGAACAGACGAGGAGCUUGCUCCUCUGACGUUAGCGGCGGACGGGUGAGUAACACGUGGAUAACCUACCUAUAAGACUGGGAUAACUUCGGGAAACCGGAGCUAAUACCGGAUAAUAUAUUGAACCGCAUGGUUCAAUAGUGAAAGACGGUUUUGCUGUCACUUAUAGAUGGAUCCGCGCCGCAUUAGCUAGUUGGUAAGGUAACGGCUUACCAAGGCAACGAUGCGUAGCCGACCUGAGAGGGUGAUCGGCCACACUGGAACUGAGACAUGGUCCAGACUCCUACGGGAGGCAGCAGUAGGGAAUCUUCCGCAAUGGGCGAAAGCCUGACGGAGCAACGCCGCGUGAGUGAUGAAGGUCUUCGGAUCGUAAAACUCUGUUAUUAGGGAAGAACAAAUGUGUAAGUAACUAUGCACGUCUUGACGGUACCUAAUCAGAAAGCCACGGCUAACUACGUGC